rnacentral:rRNA from 1 species
CCUACGGGUGGCAGCAGUGAGGAAUAUUGGUCAAUGGACGAGAGUCUGAACCAGCCAAGUAGCGUGAAGGAUGACUGCCCUAUGGGUUGUAAACUUCUUUUAUAUGGGAAUAAAAUGUUCCACGUGUGGGAUUUUGUAUGUACCAUAUGAAUAAGGAUCGGCUAACUCCGUGCCAGCAGCCGCGGUAAUACGGAGGAUCCGAGCGUUAUCCGGAUUUAUUGGGUUUAAAGGGAGCGCAGGUGGAUUGUUAAGUCAGUUGUGAAAGUUUGCGGCUCAACCGUAAAAUUGCAGUUGAAACUGGCAGUCUUGAGUACAGUAGAGGUGGGCGGAAUUCGUGGUGUAGCGGUGAAAUGCUUAGAUAUCACGAAGAACUCCGAUUGCGAAGGCAGUUCACUGGACUGCAACUGACACUGAGGCUCGAAAGUGUGGGUAUCAAACAGGAUUAGAUACCCUUGUAGUC